rnacentral:rRNA from 1 species
UGGGGAAUAUUGCACAAUGGGCGCAAGCCUGAUGCAGCGACGCCGCGUGAGGGAUGACGGCCUUCGGGUUGUAAACCUCUUUCAGCUCCGAAGAAGCCACGCUUUCUGGUGUGGUGACGGUAGGAGCAGAAGAAGCACCGGCUAACUACGUGCCAGCAGCCGCGGUAAUACGUAGGGUGCAAGCGUUGUCCGGAAUUAUUGGGCGUAAAGAGCUCGUAGGCGGUGUGUCGCGUCUGCUGUGAAAACUCAGGGCUCAACUCUGAGCUUGCAGUGGGUACGGGCACACUUGAGUGCUGUAGGGGAGACUGGAAUUCCUGGUGUAGCGGUGAAAUGCGCAGAUAUCAGGAGGAACACCGGUGGCGAAGGCGGGUCUCUGGGCAGUUACUGACGCUGAGGAGCGAAAGCAUGGGGAGCGAACAGG